rnacentral:rRNA from 1 species
UUCCUACGGGGGGCAGCAGUGAGGAAUAUUGGUCAAUGGGCGGGAGCCUGAACCAGCCAAGUCGCGUGAGGGAAGACGGUCCUAUGGAUUGUGAACCUCUUUAGGCGGGGAGCAAUGCCGGGCACGCGUGCCCGGAGGGAGAGUACCCGCAGAAUAAGCAUCGGCUAACUCCGUGCCAACAGCCGCGGUAAUACGGAGGAUGCGAGCGUUAUCCGGAUUUAUUGGGUUUAAAGGGUGCGUAGGCGGUCCGUUAAGUCAGCGGUAAAAUUGCGGGGCUCAACCCCGUCGAGCCGUUGGAACUGGCG